rnacentral:rRNA from 1 species
CAUCCCGAGUGCCGUCCGCUGAGGAUGGCUUUUACCCAGUCUAGAAAGCUGGGGGAAUAAGGAGAGGGCAAGUCUGGUGUCAGCCGCCGCGGUAAUACCAGCUCUCCGAGUGGUGUGGACGUUUAUUGGGCCUAAAGCAUCCGUAGCUGGCUGAACAAGUCCCCUGUUAAACCCACCGAUUUAAUCGUUGGUCUGCGGGGGAUACUGCUCGGCUAGGGGACGAGAGAGGUAGACGGUAUUCCCGGGGUAGGGGUGAAAUCCUAUAAUCCCGGGAAGACCACCAGUGGCGAAGGCUGUCUGCUAGAACGCGCCCGACGGUGAGGGAUGAAAGCUGGGGGAGCGAACCGGAUUAGAUACCCGGGUAGUCCCAGCUGUAAACGAUGCAGGCUAGGUGUUUGGGCGGCCACGUGCCGCUCUAGUGCCGCAGGGAAGCUGUUAAGCCUGCCGCCUGGGGAGUACGAUCGCAAGAUUGAAACUUAAAGGAAUUGGCGGGGGAGCACCACAAGGGGUGAAGCUUGCGGUUUAAUUGGAGUCAACGCCGGAAAUCUCACCGGGAGCGACAGCAGGGUGAAGGCCAGAUUAAAGGUCUUGCCAGACGAGCU